rnacentral:rRNA from 2 species
CUGCCUGUAAGACUGGGAUAACUCCGGGAAACCGGAGCUAAUACCGGAUAGUUCCUUGAACCGCAUGGUUCAAGGAUGAAAGACGGUUUCGGCUGUCACUUACAGAUGGACCCGCGGCGCAUUAGCUAGUUGGUGGGGUAAUGGCUCACCAAGGCGACGAUGCGUAGCCGACCUGAGAGGGUGAUCGGCCACACUGGGACUGAGACACGGCCCAGACUCCUACGGGAGGCAGCAGUAGGGAAUCUUCCGCAAUGGACGAAAGUCUGACGGAGCAACGCCGCGUGAGUGAUGAAGGUUUUCGGAUCGUAAAGCUCUGUUGUUAGGGAAGAACAAGUGCGAGAGUAACUGCUCGCACCUUGACGGUACCUAACCAGAAAGCCACGGCUAACUACGUGCCAGCAGCCGCGGUAAUACGUAGGUGGCAAGCGUUGUCCGGAAUUAUUGGGCGUAAAGGGCUCGCAGGCGGUUUCUUAAGUCUGAUGUGAAAGCCCCCGGCUCAACCGGGGAGGGUCAUUGGAAACUGGGAAACUUGAGUGCAGAAGAGGAGAGUGGAAUUCCACGUGUAGCGGUGAAAUGCGUAGAGAUGUGGAGGAACACCAGUGGCGAAGGCGACUCUCUGGUCUGUAACUGACGCUGAGGAG